UACAGAGGUGGCAAGCGUUGUUCGGAUUUACUGGGCGUAAAGGGCGCGUAGGCGGCGCAACAAGUCACUUGUGAAAUCUCCGGGCUUAACUCGGAGCGGCCAAGUGAUACUGUCGUGCUAGAGUGCGGAAGGGGCAACUGGAAUUCUCGGUGUAGCGGUGAAAUGCGUAGAUAUCGAGAGGAACACCUGCGGCGAAGGCGGGUUGCUGGGCCGACACUGACGCUGAGGCGCGAAAGCCAGGGGAGCGAACGGG
rnacentral:rRNA from 1 species